AGUGAAUAAAAUGUUGGUAAAUGAUUUAAAGUAUUAUUAGUGAACCAAUAAUACUAGAAGGUGAAUUAAUAUUAUCUAAGUUAAUAAUAUUAUGUGAAUUAAAGGUAGUCGUUAAUAACACUAUCUAGACAUGAUAAUGUUUAUAAGAACUUAUUGUAAUGUAUGAUAUCUAUGUGAUUACAUAAUCUGAUGUUAUGCAAUGACUAAUUGAAAGACUAAUUAUAGGUCUCUCAAAGGAAGAUAAUUUAACUACAUAGUGGAUAGAAAUUUAUUUCGUAGCUGUAACCUACGAUCGAGGCAAGUUUCCUAACUCAACUUGAGUUAUUAUUUUCAAAGCAUAUUAGUGAAUAAUUAUUGAUGAUUAUUCACGUCUUUAUUGAUUAUUGAAAUUCGCACUUUGUGCAAUUGAAUUCCGUUCUACUGCCAUUGAACUGUGAAUUAAAUUAAAGUUCUUCAUUUAUGAACUGUUUAUGG
rnacentral:lncRNA from 1 species